AGAGAGGUCCUGUCAUCAUGUGAUCUCAAUUCCAAAACUGUAGGAAUUGCUACAGGAAAUAUCAUGAAGAACCAAGAAAAAUGAGCUUUUGUGUUGUAGUGUUGAGCACUACUUAUAAGCUACCAUGUACAUUAUAGAUGAGAAAUCUGACAGUGCUCUCGCGGCAUGCUCUGAAAUUCACUAGUUCAAGGAUAUGGAAAUGUCGCUACAGCUGUAGAAUCAGAGAGCAUUGCCAGAUGAAAGGAUAACAUCCUCUGAUUGUCAUGCAUUAAAUGAUAUAAAUAUCCCUGGGCUGAAUGGCAAUGUUUUGUACCUGUUUUACUGAUCUGGGUCUGUUAGCAGAUUGUAUGUAUGUCUCGUAGGAUCUGUUGGUGGCAAUUUUAGCUUUCUUGAAAAUAUAAUGUCAGUCUCAGUUUUGUGUAGUAUAAUUUGCCAAGGCAACGUAGCUUUAAGAAUUGGGGUUGUAAUAAUGAUGGUUAUGCUUUCUUGAUCUUUAAGAGCAUGGUUUUGUUGUUGUUGUUGUUGUUGUUGUUAUUGUUAUAUGUGAGAGCCACCUUCGACUUCUUGAUUUUCUUGCUGGUUAUACUGCAUCAUAAAAGACAAAUUAAUGAUGACUUUCUAUUGUGUGUUUGGAUCUCUAAAAAUCUCCCUUUAGCCCAAAUUAGACUUUAGGAAAUCCGGGUUUUAUUGCAAAGUAUGUUGAUCGCUUCUACUGGAGAUCUAAAUUUGAUAGAAUUGUGCUGAUUUAUUAGUAUUUGUUGAUAGUAAGUGAGAUUGUGCAGUGUGCACUAGGGGAAAUUUCUCCAGUUGUGAUGUUUGUACUUUGUGUAAUAUGUAAUUCAUUUUUGUAGUUCUAGUUGACUGAUAUUCCUAAGAAGUAAUAGGAUAAUGGCCAUAGAAUUGCAGAUGAA